rnacentral:rRNA from 1 species
GACAGAGGAUGCACGCGUUAUCCGGAAUGAUUGGGCGUAAAGCGUCCGCAGGUGGCUGUGUAAGUCUGCUGUUAAAGAGUGAGGCUCAACCUCAUAAAGGCAGUGGAAACUACAUGGCUAGAGUGCGUUCGGGGCAGAGGGAAUUCCUGGUGUAGCGGUGAAAUGCGUAGAGAUCAGGAAGAACACCGGUGGCGAAAGCGCUCUGCUAGGCCGCAACUGACACUGAGGGACGAAAGCUAGGGGAGCGAAUGGG